rnacentral:rRNA from 1 species
UACGAAGGGGGCUAGCGUUGUUCGGAAUUACUGGGCGUAAAGGGCGCGUAGGCGGACGUUUAAGUCGGGGGUGAAAGCCCGGGGCUCAACCUCGGAAUUGCCUUCGAUACUGGACGUCUUGAGUACGGGAGAGGUGAGUGGAACUCCGAGUGUAGAGGUGAAAUUCGUAGAUAUUCGGAAGAACACCAGUGGCGAAGGCGACUCACUGGCCCGUUACUGACGCUGAGGCGCGAAAGCGUGGGGAGCAAACAGG